rnacentral:lncRNA from 1 species
UGGAAGUAUGCUGAGUUAGGGAAAAAAGAAUAAACUCUUAAAAAGAAAAUACUUGGCGCUUGGAACAGAAACAGUGUCAACAAGAUACACUCACCAUCACAAAACCUGACUUUGGUAAUGAAGAGCUUUUGGGAAGCAGCAACUUGAAUAUCCCUACCCAGCUGCCCAGAGAGACCUCAGUAAAUCAAUUAAGGAGAGAAAGGAGUACCCCUCCUCAUACAAGGAAGCCUGGGAGAGUCUUGCCCUAGUGAUAGGGAAGUUUAGACACCGCCUGUGACAAGCCACUGCGAGCCAAAAUGGAACUGAGGAGAGGCCCACUUGUAAGUAUGCGAUUCUUCAAUGGAGUCCUACUUCUAUCAAAUCAGAUUCUCUUAGAACUUUAUUUCAAUUUGGUUCAAUUCAAUAAUCAUUUAUUGAGUGCCUACCAUGUAACAGGCAUUGUGCUAAACUCUGGGAUUAUGAAGACAGAAAUAGAUACUCUCUGACCUCAAGGAACUUUCAUUCUACUGCAAGAGGACUACAUAUAUACAAAUAAAUAAAUACAAAAUAAAAACGAAGUGAAUAUU